rnacentral:tRNA from 1 species
ACUGUGGUUCAGUGGUAGAGUGCUCGCCUGGCGUGUGUGAGGCACUGGGUUUGAUUCUCAGCACCGUA